CCAAUAGCGUAUAUUAAAGUUGUUGCAGUUAAAAAGCUCGUAGUUGAACUUCGGGGUCUACCCAUUGGUCAGGCUUAAUUGUCUGCACUGGUGAGAUGGAUCUCUACCUUCUGAGGAACUUUCAUGCCAUUUAUUUGGUGUGGUUGGAAAUCAGGACUGUUACUUUGAAAAAAUUAGAGUGUUUAAAGCAGACUAUCGUCUGAAUACAUUAGCAUGGAAUAAUGAAAUAGGACGGACGGAUUCUAUUUCGUUGGUUUCUAGGAUCACCGUAAUGAUUAAUAGGGAUAGUUGGGGGCAUUAGUAUUCAAUUGUCAGAGGUGAAAUUCUUGGAUUUAUUGAAGACUAACUACUGCGAAAGCAUUUGCCAAGGAUAUUUUCAUUAAUCAAGAACGAAAGUUAGGGGAUCGAAGACGAUCAGAUACCGUCGUAGUCUUAACCAUAAACUAUGCCGACUAGGGAUCGGACGAAGUUAAUUGAUAAUGACGCGUUCGGCACCUUACG
rnacentral:misc_RNA from 1 species